rnacentral:rRNA from 1 species
UACAGAGGUCCCAAGCGUUGUUCGGAUUCACUGGGCGUAAAGGGUGCGUAGGCGGGCGGGUAAGUCUGAUGUGAAAUCUCACAGCUUAACUGUGAAACUGCAUUGGAUACUAUCCGGCUCGAGGAAUGGAGGGGAGACUGGAAUACUUGGUGUAGCAGUGAAAUGCGUAGAUAUCAAGCGGAACACCAGUGGCGAAGGCGAGUCCCUGGACAACACCUGACACUGAGGCACGAAAGCUAGGGGAGCAAACAGG